rnacentral:rRNA from 1 species
UCAAGCUUAGAAGAGCACAGGGCGGAUGCCCAGGCACCAUACGCCGAAGAAGGACGCGGUCAGCUGCGAAAAGCUGUGGGGAGCCGCAAGCAGGCAUUGAUCCACAGAUUUCCGAAUGGGGAAACCCGGCGGGAGUCAUGUCCCGUCACCCAUGACUGAAUCCAUAGGUCAUGAGGAGGGCACGCGGGGAACUGAAACAUCUAAGUACCCGCAGGAAAAGAAAGAAACAUCGAUUUCCUAAGUAGCGGCGAGCGAACGGGAAAGAGGCCAAACCAGAGAGCAUGCUCUUUGGGGUUGCGGGCCGGCAACAUGUACGUGAAAGUCUAGUGGAAGCGCGUUGGAAAGCGCCGCCAGAGAGGGUGACAGCCCCGUAGACGAAAGGCGGACACGGCUAGCCGGUACCAGAGUACCGCAGGACACGAGGAAUCCGGCGGGAAGCCGGGGGGACCACCCCCCAAGCCUAAAUACGAUAUGGUGACCGAUAGCGCAUAGUACCGUGAGGGAAAGGUGAAAAGAACCCCGGGAGGGGAGUGAAAGAGAACCUGAAACCCUGUGUUUACAAGCAGAGGAAGCACGAUCCAGGUGCGACCUUGUACUUUUUGUAGAACGGACCGGCGAGUUGCGUUAUGUUGCGAGGUUAAGUACUGAAGGUACGGAGCCGAAGCGAAAGCGAGUCUGAAGAGGGCGAAAAGUAACAUGACGCAGACCCGAAACCGGGUGACCUAUCCAUGGCCAGGUUGAAGUGGGAGUACAAUCCCAUGGAGGACCGAACCAGACGUCUGUUGAAAAAGGCGGGGAUGAGCUGUGGAUAGCGGAGAAAUUCCAAUCGAACCCGGAGAUAGCUGGUUCUCCUCGAAAUAGCUUUAGGGCUAGCCUCGUAUUAGAUAACUGGAGGUAGAGCACUGAAUGGGCUAGGGGGCCCAAAGCUUACCGAACCCUAUCAAACUUCGAAUGCCAGGAUAUUGAUGUACGGGAGUCAGUCCGCGAGAGAUAAGUUCCGCGGGCAAAAGGGGAACACCCCAGACCCACUGCUAAGGUCCCAAAGUGCGCGUUAAGUGGAGAAGGAUGUGUGAUUGCACAGACAACCAGGAUGUUGGCUCAGAAGCAGCCAUUCAUUCAAAGAGUGCGUAAUAGCUCACUGGUCGAGUGGUCAUGCGCCGAAGAUGUACCGGGGCUCAAACGCGCCGCCGAAGCAUGGGAUUCGCGCAAGCGAGUGGUAGAGGAGCAUUGAAUCAGGGCAGAAGCUGGAGCGGGAGCACCAGUGGACUUGAUUCAAGAGAGAAUGCCGGUAUGAGUAGCGAGAGGCAAGCGAGAAACUUGCCCGUCGAAAGCCUAAGGUUUCCUGGGGAAGGUUCAUCCGCCCAGGGUAAGUCGGGACCUAAGCCGAGGACGGAAGUCGUAGGCGAUGGACAGCAGGUUGAGAUUCCUGCACCGCCUUGAGAAUGAUGCAAUGACACAGAAGGAUAGCAUGAGCCGGGUGAUGGUCAACUCGGUUUCCAGAGCGAGGGCGCUUGGUAGUGAAGUACGCCAAGCACAUAGCCUGAGCUGAAGAGGGAGCGAAAUUCAAGUAGCGAAGCAUGCGAUUUCACGCUGGCGAGAAAAGUUGCUGGUAUAUCGAAGAGGCGCCCGUACCGCAAACCGACGCAGGUAGGCGAGGUGAGAAUCCUAAGACGAACGGGAGAACCCUUGUUAAGGAACUCGGCAAAAUGACCCCGUAACUUCGGGAGAAGGGGUGCCGAUGGAAACAUCGGUCGCAGAGAAAAGGCUCAAGCGACUGUUUAGCAAAAACACAGGUAUCUGCGAAAGCGAGAGCUGACGUAUAGGUGCUGACACCUGCCCGGUGCUGGAAGGUUAAGGGGAAAUGUCAUCGCAAGAGAAGCAUAGAACCGAAGCCCCAGUAAACGGCGGCCGUAACUAUAACGGUCCUAAGGUAGCGAAAUUCCUUGUCGGGUAAGUUCCGACCCG